ensembl:lncRNA
UUUUCGGCAUGAAAAAAAUUGGUGCAUGCCUAUUGAUUAUGGGUCAUGCUCUCAUGAAUGCAGUAGCAUUCUCUAUUUAAAACUGAUUGAUUUUUUUCACAGGUAGCCUGAAGCAAAACUCUCUGCUAAAAAAUGUUAACAAAAAAUAAGUUGAGACAACCCUUGGCAAAUGGUUCGUCAACGCCAGGGACGGCAACCGUGCCUUGCGAGCCCAGCGAGACCUUGAACAGAGGAGUGAAACUGAGGGGUCUGCCCAAACCCAGGAGUGAUCUUCAUCCACAGAUUUUUUUUUUCUUUUAUCCUGCUUAAUUUUUAAAAUGUCUUUGUAUAAUCAAUAAAAAGAUGAAUUGCAUAUUCUGAGUUGAAACU